CGUACGUGUGUGACUUUGACUGUGCUCCCGUUUGUGUGUGACUGGGAAGAGGCAUCGUCGCUGCCGCUGGCUUAGUGCGUGCGUGUAACUGUUUACGGACUUCAAGAAAUCCCAUCGCAUCCUUUCUGUUCUCAAGGCUGACGAAACUAGAAAAAAAAACAAUCAUCAACAACAACUGCAGAAGAUUGAUCCCGUACGGAGCAAAUAACUUAGCUUCGCAUACAGCUGACAAGCUUUUUCAUCAACAUAAACUAGCAAGCAAUCCUUUCAUGAUGCAUAUCCGAGAAGAUAUCUUCACCGCAUGAACCAACAGUGCAACGAUAUCACGAAAACACCCCGAAAAGAACAACCAAUGCAAAAACUAUGUAAUCAACAUUUUCCGAGCCCGCGCCAAUAGUCCUCUGCACAACACUAUACCAGCUGUUGGUUCGAUACGUUCAAGAUGUGAUGACAGGGCGGCUUUUUGAUACCGGUUCGAGAUAUGGAAUGAGAAGUUAUCGUUAACUAUUUUGCUUUCUCCUCUAUAAAUAUCAAUACAAUCCUCUUGCGGAAUUUUCGACUUAGCAGCCGACUCUUUGCUACGAUCCUACUGAGAGUGAGCAUCCUGGAUAAGUACAAUGUGUCCUCAUGGUAGUGUAUGACUAUGGAGACGCAUAGUAUUGCAGCAGCGAAAAAACACAAAAAAGUGUAUAAUACAUUAACAAGGCGGAGGAAGAAACCGAGGAGA